GACAGUUCUGUUUCUAAUGGCUCUUCGAUUUCAGGAAGGUGGUGGCCAGUGACCUUCGGCUGGGGCACGGGGUUCGGAAUGGCCCUGUCCAACUGCCAACACGAUCUGAACGAAUCGUAUUUGUACAGGAUCCAGAAAAUCAAAGAGAAACAAAAGUCCAUAGAAGAGGCUUCGCCCUCAUAGAUCGAUUUCUCUUCCGAAUAAUGAGAUUUGUAAUUAGGUCGCAGUUUACAGCGGUAGAAUUUGUAAAUUGAUUCAAUAAAUCAUUCAUUUAUUA